UGGCUCAGUGGUAGACCGCUUGCCUUGCAUGCAUGAGGCCCUGGGUUCGAUUCCUAG
rnacentral:tRNA from 1 species